rnacentral:rRNA from 1 species
UACAGAGGUCUCAAGCGUUGUUCGGAUUCAUUGGGUGUAAAGGGUGCGUAGGUGGCAUGGUAAGUCGGAUGUGAAAUCCCGGGGCUCAACCCCGGAACUGCAUUCGAUACUGCUGCGCUAGAGUACUGGAGAGGAGAUUGGAAUUUACGGUGUAGCAGUGAAAUGCGUAGAUAUCGUAAGGAAGACCAGUGGCGAAGGCGGAUCUCUGGACAGUUACUGACACUGAGGCACGAAGGCCAGGGGAGCAAACGGG